GUAGGGUUUGUUGCAUGUAUUAGCUCUAAAAUUACUAUAGUUAUCAAGUAGUAGAAACCAUCAAACAAACUAUAACUGAUUUAAUGAGCCAUUCAUAUUUUCGUAGUUUCAAUUAGAUCAUACUUACACAUGCAUGGCUUAAUCUUUAAGACAGGCAUAUGACUACUAGUAGGAUCAACUAGGUAGCAUUCUUUCAGGACAUUGGCAUUGCAUGGGCCUCAACACAUCAAUUGGGUGGUAGAGAGAGCCAACACAGAGGACAAACAUCUUACAUGUCAAGCAUAUGAAAGCAUAGCAUCAAACGAACAAGGGCUAAGGGCUUAUGCCUACAAAACAUUCUACAUCUGAGAGUAUGAUCGAACACCAGUGUACUAAUAAGGCAAUGGAGGUUUGGGUGGCACACUUUAGACACGAGGCAUGAUUGAGGUUCGACCAUAGUCCCUAAGGACACAAGAUAGAUGAGGGAUGGCGGAACAUCCAAUUUUCAUCAAUUUAGGUAUGUAGCACAAGAUCUCGAUUACGCCUCCAGGGUAUGAUGACCACAUAGGGGGAGAUUGAAGAGGAUGAUGGGUUGAUAGUUUGAUGCAUCAAGAAUGGAGCUUGCCAACAUGUACAACCAUAGCACCAUUUAUAUGCCCACCGAGUACAAGUGGCAACAUCCAUAUGUAGCAGUCCAUAAUCCACCCGAUCAAUUACUAGAUGAGUGAGUGAAGGAAAUGAUGUACGAGGCCAUGCCAUAACUGCUUAGCAUGGGAAAAACACAAGUAAAGGCCAUGAGACUACCCCUGCCAUCCAAUAGGCAACAACGGCAAAAUACCACCAAUGCUUGGUCUAGCCAACAUCGCACAUGUAAACUCCGCUAUCACCACCCCAAGAGGACAUUGCCCAAUUUAAGGACUUGUUCUUGAGGUCUUGGGGGCAUUGGCUGCAUGUACGUAUCAUGGGAUUUAGUCUUAAGCCAAACUUCAUAUGGCCUUAGAUUGGAAAUGAACUCUGUAUGCCUAAGUUAGCCUAUGAAACAAGCAUGCGGGCAUAAAACCAACACCAAAAGGUAGAAUACAUGAGCUAAAAACAUAAGGGAAUGCUAGAAUGCUCUAUAUAUUACUUAGUGGUGAAUUGGAUACAAAUGAGGGAGGGGUGCCCUCUAUUUAAGCUAAGUGACCAUCGGUAUAGAUCUUGGUGGUAGUAGCAAAUAUUCAAUUGAUAACUUUAAAAAGGAAUCGGGUUAAAAUUCCUACACUAGGAUAUGAUGCCUGACGGCAACAUUUUAGAGUUCGAAGAAAUCGAUGGGGGCCUCAAAAAGAGUUAUCUUUUCUGCUUAAUAGCCUUCCCACCCUAGAAAUGGCUUAGCCAAAGGUAAAGUCUAGUGGCUAAAAGAGCACCACACAUCAUCUAGUGUCCGAUAUGCCCUUCGAAGCCCUUGAAAAUCCAAAAGAUCGAGUACUGUCUGUAUAUAGAUAUACUUAUAAUCUCAUUAGGUCUCUAAGGUGAAUAGCUUUUGGUUGAUGGAACAGUGUAGGCAAGAGAAGUAGAUAGAAUGGAUCCGUAACCUCAAGAAAAGGAUUGGCUCUAAGGGCCGAGCACGAGGUCCUAGUUUUAAACCUAUCAGCUAUCGAUGCACUACUUGAGCUACUCUUACAGUGAGCAGGUGACAAUGUGCCAAUCCCUGUGAAUCCAACUAUUUAAUUAAUACAAAGCAUUGCAAUGUCCCUAUGAAUGCUUAUGCAAUGUGAUUUUUAUCUGGUGCUUUAAAUGUCAAAAGGAAGAAAUUCAAUCAAGCAUGGGUGAAUAGCAAGAGUAACUAUGACUCUCUUAAGAUAGCCAAAUGCCUCAUCAUCUAAUUAAUGAUGUGCAUGAAUGGAUUAAUGAGAUUUCCACUAUCCUUAUCUACUAUCCAAAUAAAUCAUAGCCAAAGGAAUGGGCUUCGCUAAAUUAGCAGGGAAAGAAGACCCUAUUGAGCUUGACUCUAGUCCAACUUUGUGAAAUGACUUGAGAAGUGUAGGAUAAGUGGAAGCCCUUGGGUGAAAUUGAAAUACCAUUACUUUUGACAUUAUUUUACUUAUUCUGUGAAUCAAAGGUGGGGCACGACCUUUUAUUUUAGACCUAAGCCUGGCCUCGAUCAGUCGAUUUGGGCAAAAGACAUUGUCAGUUAAAGGGUUUUGUUGGGGUAGCACAUCGUUAAAAAAUAACGCAGGUGUCCUAAGAUGAGCUUAACGAGAACAAAAAUCUCAUGUGGAACAAAAAGGUAAAAGCUCAUUUGAUUCUGAUUUCUAGUACAAAUAUGAACCAUGAAAGUGAGGCCUAUCAAUCCUUUAGACCUUUAAAUUUUGAAGCUAGAGAUGUUAAAAAAGUUACCACAUAGAUAACUAGCUUGUGGCAUCAUAGCAUCACUGCUUUAUGAUGCUUUGAUGUUGUCUCUUCCUAUCAUUGUAAAGCAAAAUUCACCAAGUGUUGGAAUGCUCACCCACCAAUAGGGAAUAUGAGCUGGGUUUAGACUGUUGUAAGAUAGGUUAGUUUUACCAUACUGAUGGUAGCGUCACAAUAUUAAUUCAAUCUAGUACGGGAAGAACCAUUAAUUCACAUAAUUGGUCAUCACAAUUGGUUGAAAAGCCAAUAACACAAAGCUACUAUGUGCUAUAUUAUGAUUGAAUGUCUCUAAGCCUAAUUGUUGACCCAUAGUAGGAGCCUAUUACCACUAAGGACAUGUGUCAUAGAUAUAACCCUAGUGGCAGACAAGCCAUAUAGGUCUUCUUAGAACUUAAUUCCCAUUGAACGGUGGGUAGAAUCAUUUGCAGAUGACUUAAAUAUGCUAUGGGGUAUAGUAAGUGGCAUAAUGGCCUUGCUGUCAUGCUCUACUAAGAUUCAGCCCAUUGUCACUUUGAUUUGUCCCUCCCCU
rnacentral:rRNA from 1 species